GGUUAAGCGACUAAGCGUACACGGUGGAUGCCCUGGCAGUCAGAGGCGAUGAAGGACGUGCUAAUCUGCGAUAAGCGUCGGUAAGGUGAUAUGAACCGUUAUAACCGGCGAUUUCCGAAUGGGGAAACCCAGUGUGUUUCGACACACUAUCAUUAACUGAAUCCAUAGGUUAAUGAGGCGAACCGGGGGAACUGAAACAUCUAAGUACCCCGAGGAAAAGAAAUCAACCGAGAUUCCCCCAGUAGCGGCGAGCGAACGGGGAGCAGCCCAGAGCCUGAAUCAGUAUGUGUGUUAGUGGAAGCGUCUGGAAAGGCGCGCGAUACAGGGUGACAGCCCCGUACACAAAAAUGCACAUAUUGUGAGCUCGAUGAGUAGGGCGGGACACGUGGUAUCCUGUCUGAAUAUGGGGGGACCAUCCUCCAAGGCUAAAUACUCCUGACUGACCGAUAGUGAACCAGUACCGUGAGGGAAAGGCGAAAAGAACCCCGGCGAGGGGAGUGAAAAAGAACCUGAAACCGUGUACGUACAAGCAGUGGGAGCACGCUUAGGCGUGUGACUGCGUACCUUUUGUAUAAUGGGUCAGCGACUUAUAUUCUGUAGCAAGGUUAACCGAAUAGGGGAGCCGAAGGGAAACCGAGUCUUAACUGGGCGUUAAGUUGCAGGGUAUAGACCCGAAACCCGGUGAUCUAGCCAUGGGCAGGUUGAAGGUUGGGUAACACUAACUGGAGGACCGAACCGACUAAUGUUGAAAAAUUAGCGGAUGACUUGUGGCUGGGGGUGAAAGGCCAAUCAAACCGGGAGAUAGCUGGUUCUCCCCGAAAGCUAUUUAGGUAGCGCCUCGUGAAUUCAUCUCCGGGGGUAGAGCACUGUUUCGGCAAGGGGGUCAUCCCGACUUACCAACCCGAUGCAAACUGCGAAUACCGGAGAAUGUUAUCACGGGAGACACACGGCGGGUGCUAACGUCCGUCGUGAAGAGGGAAACAACCCAGACCGCCAGCUAAGGUCCCAAAGUCAUGGUUAAGUGGGAAACGAUGUGGGAAGGCCCAGACAGCCAGGAUGUUGGCUUAGAAGCAGCCAUCAUUUAAAGAAAGCGUAAUAGCUCACUGGUCGAGUCGGCCUGCGCGGAAGAUGUAACGGGGCUAAACCAUGCACCGAAGCUGCGGCAGCGACACUAUGUGUUGUUGGGUAGGGGAGCGUUCUGUAAGCCUGUGAAGGUGUGCUGUGAGGCAUGCUGGAGGUAUCAGAAGUGCGAAUGCUGACAUAAGUAACGAUAAAGCGGGUGAAAAGCCCGCUCGCCGGAAGACCAAGGGUUCCUGUCCAACGUUAAUCGGGGCAGGGUGAGUCGACCCCUAAGGCGAGGCCGAAAGGCGUAGUCGAUGGGAAACAGGUUAAUAUUCCUGUACUUGGUGUUACUGCGAAGGGGGGACGGAGAAGGCUAUGUUGGCCGGGCGACGGUUGUCCCGGUUUAAGCGUGUAGGCUGGUUUUCCAGGCAAAUCCGGAAAAUCAAGGCUGAGGCGUGAUGACGAGGCACUACGGUGCUGAAGCAACAAAUGCCCUGCUUCCAGGAAAAGCCUCUAAGCAUCAGGUAACAUCAAAUCGUACCCCAAACCGACACAGGUGGUCAGGUAGAGAAUACCAAGGCGCUUGAGAGAACUCGGGUGAAGGAACUAGGCAAAAUGGUGCCGUAACUUCGGGAGAAGGCACGCUGAUAUGUAGGUGAAGUCCCUCGCGGAUGGAGCUGAAAUCAGUCGAAGAUACCAGCUGGCUGCAACUGUUUAUUAAAAACACAGCACUGUGCAAACACGAAAGUGGACGUAUACGGUGUGACGCCUGCCCGGUGCCGGAAGGUUAAUUGAUGGGGU
rnacentral:rRNA from 1 species